CGUGCAGCGACGGCAUCUCAAUCGCGCCUCUUCAGUGUUUGGCUCCGGCGCUCAUGUGCUGUGCCAAAGUCGGUUCUCCUGUGUUGUAUUCCCAUUGAGAUGGCAUUGUGUCGGCUAACUCGUUCAUUCUCCGCCCUGCGCUGCUGCUCCUUAUGGAAAUGCGGUGCGGUGUGGACCUCAAAGCGCCCGUCGUGUCUCGCAGCCCGGGCACUCCUGACCGAGUGCUUGUUUUGCCGAUCCACGACGACGCGCUCGAUCUCUCGGAUGCAGAACAUUGAGCGGGUAAGGGGCCUCGGCGCCCCUCAACACCCCCAAAACAGCGUUCUACGCUUAGUGCGAACGACUGUCGUCCCGGUCCUUGUUCGGGAGCCCAUGCGGCUCAGGUUCAUGCCGGUCCGACGUCGGUGAGGAAUGCUACCUGGUUGAUCCUGCCAGUA
rnacentral:misc_RNA from 1 species